CAAUGACAGCACAGAAUGGUAUCUGCCAUCCUACUAUUUCCACGACCACUAGUGCCCUGGAGAUUUGAUCUUCUUGUGACUUCUGCCAUCAUGGCCAGAAACAAGAUAGUGCCAAGACAAAUGACAAGUGAAAAAGUUGAAUAGUAACUUCAGAAACCUGAGACGCUUCCCCAGAGCAGGAGGUUGUUGGAGGGCUUUGCCGUUUGACCUCAGGCCGUUCCGCACUAGAGGACCAUAGAAGACGAUUCUCAUCAGAUGAAUGAAGAAAGAGUGUCCGAGAAGCUGGCAGCUCUGUCAGAUUUUCAUUUUCCUUCUCUUCUUGGGCAGAACAGUUUAAGCCAACCAGCUCACGUCAGAAGAACAGCAGCUACAGCCCAGCAUUUAUGGGAGCGUUCCUCUUCCUGGCUAGUACCUGCCAUCAGAGAAGCUUCCUCCAGCUUGGGUCUCAGAGCGAGAACACACCCAAGGCUGACCAGAGCUGACCUGCAGGCCGCACAGGGAAUGGCUGAGAAAGAGGCAGUCCGUGCUGUAACACGCUGGAAUCGUGGGGUCCCUCAGUACCACAGCAAAGGUGGAAGAUGACAACCAAAUCCUGAGAAGUCGAAUUGCUGAGUCUUCAGUCCGUUCCACAAACAUUUUGAAGAGAGAUGCUUUGAACCUACUGUCCUGGAUUCUGGAGAUCACAGUCGUGAACAACAGUGAAGGAAACCAAGUUCCCCAGGUUAGGGUGCUUACAUCUUGUCAAUGUUAUCCUUUUUAAAGUUCUAAUAGAUGCUUUAAAAAUUGCCCUUCUCUCUACUAUGUAUUGAUAAAGAUAGAGGGAAUUCAUGGUGCUUUCUCCUUCCAGAUUUUCUCUUCUGUUUUCCAAUCUUUAAAAGACAAUUCUCACUCUGAGCUUGGGCUCAGCAAAUCUGGGUGUCAACCGACCAGCCCUUUCCCUAGGAGCCACUGGCAGCCAAAGCAGAUGCCUGUGGAGUAUCCCCUUGGCAGCCCCACCCUUCAGCUUCCCUUUGACUUCACGCCUCUGUAGAAAGGGCAGACUUGGCUUUACUACACCCGAGUGUCACACACAUGAGAUUAUGGACAGUCAUUGUUUACAUGGCACGAAUGCUAGGUGGGAGCAGGUCCUUCUGUGGUGGCGUGGCCACGCUGGGCCACUGAGCCCAUGGCUCUCUGUGGGGCGUGACAAGUGGAAUGGCCAGCCUGAGAGCCACUGGGGGGGGGUGGUGUGAGUGUGGAGCGGGGAAGACCGUGACUCCAGAGCUCAUCCUGGCCAGGUCAAGAUGCAUCAUGGAGGCGGGCAUAAUGAUCCCAGCCCCUGCAUGCUUUCCGAGUCACACACUUGUCCCUAGCCCCUUCCUGUCUGUUCUGCUCUUCAAUAUCGGUGUCUUGCUGAGUCAGGGCCCCACCUGGAAGUACUUGC
rnacentral:lncRNA from 1 species